CGGACGUGAGCAAUCUGCCUUUAAGAGGGGGAUAACAGUCGGAAACGGCUGCUAAUACCGCAUAAAGCAUCAAAUUCGCAUGUUUUUUGUAUGCCAAAGGAGCAAUCCGCUUUUAGAUGAGCUCGCGUCUGAUUAGCUGGUUGGCGGGGUAACGGCCCACCAAGGCGACGAUCAGUAGCCGGACUGAGAGGUUGAACGGCCACAUUGGGACUGAGACACGGCCCAG
rnacentral:rRNA from 1 species